AUGUCUCCGUAUGUGUCCCUCCACACGUGGAGACCACCUAUUGGCUUCCCCUCCAGGAGGCAGGUCCACUAAUUUCCAUCGUUAUCGCACGGCACCAGGAAACGGAACCGUCAGCCCAUCUAGUCUGUCGCCGCUCCGUCCUCUGUUCUAUCCUUUCCCCUUCUCUCCUCCAAGCUGGUCCGCCUAGCUGCUGCACAAAUCGAAGAGCUCGAUCUCAGCGGGACUUUACAUCCAAUAGCAAGAAGUUCGAUUGGUGGAACAACAAGGACCUCGAUUCCGGCUGCAAGAUUUCGAUUUGGGUGGCUACAACCUCGAUUCUUGCUGCAAGAUCUCGAUUAGGAUCGUGAGGAUUUCUAUUUUGCGGUUUCCUCGUCAUUGCGUCCAGUCAAGGUCACCAUGGUGGGACAUCGAGCUGGGAGGGUGUGACAGCAGGUGUUGUGAAUACGAUGGUGAUGGUGUAUCCUUCAAGGUCCUCUUGUCGGAGCAAAGAAUCUUCCCCAUGACAAAUCUAGUUUGAAGGAAUGUUGAUCCGACAGAAAUUUGGCGAGGAUGUGGUACCUGCAACCGGCGGCAUGGCCAUGCUUAGUACUUGUGGAAGUAAUGGCGGUGCCCGAUCCAAGUAGUUGUCUUCGUUGAUAGGUGUAAUGUGAUUUGACUGAGAUGCCAUUGUUGUUGUGUGGGAGAUGAGGAAGAUGCAAAUCUGAUAAUUAUCUUUUUGUGUUUUUAGUGUUGUUAGCUUGGCGGCCGAUAAAAACUGCACCCGCUGUAAUUGGCGCCAUUUUCUUCAGAAUUAGGUGGCUUUUCCCUCCAUUAAUUCUCCCUAACCCUCGUAAUUACGUUAGUGGGG